AUUGAACGCUGGCGGCGUGCCUAACACAUGCAAGUCGAGCGGUAACAGGUGUAGCAAUACAUGCUGACGAGCGGCGGACGGGUGAGUAACGCUUGGGAAUCUGCCUAUUAGUGGGGGACAACCCGGGGGAAACUCGGGCUAAUACCGCAUACGCACUACGGUGGAAAGCCGGGGACCGCAAGGCCUGGCGCUAACAGAUGAGCCCAAGUCGGAUUAGCUAGUUGGUAGGUAACGGCCACCAAGGCGACGAUCCGUAACUGGUCUGAGAGGACGACCAGUCACACCGGAACUGAGACACGGUCCGGACUCCUACGGGAGGCAGCAGUGGGGAAUAUUGGACAAUGGGCGAAAGCCUGAUCCAGCGACGCCGCGUGGGUGAAGAAGGCCUGCGGGUU
rnacentral:rRNA from 1 species